ACAUCCAGAGAAUUUGGCAGAGAUGCCUUAGUGCUUUCGGGAACUCUGAGACAGGUGCUGCAUGGCUGUCGUCAGCUCGUGUUGUGAAAUGUUGGGUUAAGUCCCGNAACGAGCGCAACCCUUAUCCUUUGUUGCCAGCACGUAAUGGUGGGAACUCAAAGGAGACUGCCGGUGAUAAACCGGAGGAAGGUGGGGAUGACGUCAAGUCAUCAUGGCCCUUACGAGUAGGGCUACACACGUGCUACAAUGGCGCAUACAAAGAGAAGCGACCUCGCGAGAGCAAGCGGACCUCAUAAAGUGCGUCGUAGUCCGGAUUGGAGUCUGCAACUCGACUCCAUGAAGUCGGAAUCGCUAGUAAUCGUAAAUCAGAAUGUUACGGUGAAUACGUUCCCGGGCCUUGUACACACCGCCCGUCACACCAUGGGAGUGGGUUGCAAAAGAAGUAGAUAGCUUAACCUUCGGGAGGGCGUUUACCACUUUGUGAUUCAUGACUGGGGUGAAGUCGUAACAAGGUAGGCGUAGCGAG
rnacentral:rRNA from 1 species